GGACCCGUACCCCAGCGGCUAGAGGGAACUGCUUUAGGUGCAGUCUGUCGUGAGUUCGAAUCUCACCGGGUCCA
rnacentral:tRNA from 1 species